rnacentral:rRNA from 1 species
CCUACGGGAGGCAGCAGUGGGGAAUAUUGCACAAUGGGGGAAACCCUGAUGCAGCGACGCCGCGUGAGCGAUGAAGUAUUUCGGUAUGUAAAGCUCUAUCAGCAGGGAAGAAAAUGACGGUACCUGACUAAGAAGCCCCGGCUAACUACGUGCCAGCAGCCGCCGUAAUACGUAGGGGGCAAGCGUUAUCCGGGUUUACUGGGUGGAAAGGGAGCGUAGACGGUCCUGCAAGCCAGAUGUGAAAGCCCGGGGCUCAACCCCGGGACUGCAUUUGGAACUGUAAGGCUAGAGUGUCGGAGAGGCAGGCGGAAGUCCUAGUGUAGCGGUGAAAUGCGUAGAUAUUAGGAGGAACACCAGUGGCGAAGGCGGCCUGCUGGACGAUGACUGACGUUGAGGCUCGAAAGCGUGGGGAGCAAACAGGAUUAGAUACCCCAGUAGUC